rnacentral:tRNA from 1 species
GGAGAUGUAGCUCAGUGUUAGAGUGCUUGCCUAGCAUGUAUGAGGCUCUGGGUUUGAGCCCCAGCACCACAA